rnacentral:rRNA from 1 species
GUCGUAGCGGACAGAAGCGGUAGCUUGCUCCCGGAUGUUAGCGGCGGACGGGUGAGUAACACGUGGGUAACCUGCCUGUAAGACUGGGAUAACUCCGGGAAACCGGAGCUAAUACCGGAUAGUUCCUUGAACCGCAUGGUUCAAGGAUGAAAGACGGUUUCGGCUGUCACUUACAGAUGGACCCGCGGCGCAUUAGCUAGUUGGUGGGGUAAUGGCUCACCAAGGCGACGAUGCGUAGCCGACCUGAGAGGGUGAUCGGCCACACUGGGACUGAGACACGGCCCAUACUCCUACGGGAGGCAGGAGUAGGGAAUCUUCCGCAAUGGACGA